rnacentral:lncRNA from 11 species
GAAGGCUCCAUUUUGAGAAGCCUAUUCUGCCUUCUAGACAGCAUAGAUGUGCUUGUGUGGCCAAGCCAGGCCAACUCUGAAAAGGCCAUCAUACCUGUUUUUAGGUGUUUCUACACGCAUGCAAUGGAGUGGAGUGGAUUUGUGCCUGGCUUUGAAAUCCUCCCAUUUCUACAUGAUGUGGAGACAACUUCCAAUGCUGUGACGAUGAAGUCUCUGAAGCAACCACCAGAAGCAGUCCUGCAUCAUUUGAUGGGCUCCAUGGGAGUUUGUCUUUGAACCGUCUUUGAAGUGUGUAGAAACAGAGGAGGAAAAUUGUGUGAUGAAGUCCUAAGCAGAUUUGGUGGAUCCAAAUGAUUGACAUCAUUGGUUGCUGUCACAGGGUGUGGGGAACCUGUUGCCCCACACUCCACAUAGUCCAGCUUACUGGCUGGGUGAUCCGUCGACCAUCUAUCUAAGGCAACAUGGGAAGCCUCCUGUAUUGCUGCCAUGGUGACAUGCUCCAAGUCACCACCUCUUUAAACACAGAUACCCACUGGAAGUUGUACAUUGUGUAAUGGAAGCCCACGGGCACUGGGCUUAAUGGGCUAGUGAAGUGAAGCAUGAAGCUGAUUCUUCCCCCAUCUGAUGAGAUCAUUUGAAAUGGGAACUUGACACACUGUUGCACAGUGGCUUUAGUCCUUUUGAGAGAGAAAGGUACAAAAGGCGAUGAUGGGAGAUUCCUGUUUGAUUUCUUGGUCUUUGGCCUGUGUACCAUGACUCCUCCCCCAACUUUUGCUAAUGAUAUCCAACUCUAUUUGUCCUUUCCAUCCAAAUCCAAGGAACACAUUUAAUUUCAGAUUGAGUGUUAAACAGUGACAGUAAUGGACUAAUAAUGUUGAGUAUCAGUAAUAUGUAUGAUGAAUAAAUGUGAAACUUAAUCCAAACAAGACAUUGCCACUUUUUGUCAGUUAGAAGGGAGAUCGGAGAAUAGAGAUGCAACUGUCCUUCCACUCAAAAACAGGAUUUGCCAUUUCUGUAUACUCUCAGUUCCGACGCUGAAAUGA